AACUGAUUUAUGAUUUUUUUAGGUUGACUGAAUAUUAGUGGCAAUGCAGAAGACUGAAGGCUGCUGUUAACAAAGGUGCAGAUGUCACCAACUGAAGAUCAGGACACAUCUUCCUACAGCCAAAUAUUCUUUUUCAAACACAGGGAAAAGGAGAGAGGAUCGUGUAGGACACCUCUGGCAGUUAUUACUCAGCAACCAUAAGUUCAAUGAGGUAUGUGCAUGUGUUAGGAGUCAGGGUC
rnacentral:lncRNA from 1 species